rnacentral:rRNA from 1 species
GAUGAACGCUGGCGGCGUGCCUAAUACAUGCAAGUCGAGCGAACAGACGAGGAUCUUGCUUCUCUGACGUGAGCGGCGGACGGGUGAUUAACACGUGGAUAACCUAUCUAUAAGACUGGGAUAAGUUCGGGAAACCUGAUCUAACACCGGACAAUAGAUUGAACCGCAUGGUUCAUUAGUGAAAGACGGUUUUGCUGUCACUUAUAGAUGGAUCCUCGCCGGAUUAGCUAGGUGGUAAGGUAACGGCUUACCAAGGCAACGAUGCGUAGCCGAGCCGGGAGGGUGGUCCGCUAAAACGGAACCGGGACACGGUCCCGACUCCUAACGGAGGCAGCCAGAGGGAAACUUCGGCAAUGGGGCGAAGCUUUGCGGCGCACAGCCGGGUUAGUGAUAGAGGUCUUCGGAUCGUAAAACCCUGUUAUUAGGGAAGAACAAAUAUGAAAGUAACUAUGCACGUCUUGAAGGUAACUAAUAAGAAAGGCACCGCUAAAUACCUG